GACGAACGCUGGCGGCGUGCCUAAUACAUGCAAGUAGAACGCACAGUUUAUACCGUAGCUUGCUACACCAUAGACUGUGAGUUGCGAACGGGUGAGUAACGCGUAGGUAACCUGCCUGGUAUCGGGGGAUAACUAUUGGAAACGAUAGCUAAUACCGCAUAAUAUUGAUUAUUGCAUGAUAAUUGAUUGAAAGAUGCUCUUGCAUCACUACCAGAUGGACCUGCGUUGUAUUAGCUAGUAUGUGAGGUAACGGCUCACCUAGUCGACGAUACAUAGCCGACCUGGGAGGGUGAUCGGCCACACUGGGAAUGAGACACGGCCCAGACUCCCACGGGAGGCAGCAGGAGGGAAUCUUCGGCAAUGGACGAAAGUCUGACCGAGCAACGCCGCGUGAGUGAAGAAGGGUUUCGGAUCGGAAAGCUCUGUUGUAAGAGAAGAACGGGUGUGAGAGUGGAAAGUUCACACUGUGACGGUAUCUUACCAGAAAGGGACGGCUAACUACGUG
rnacentral:rRNA from 1 species